AACAAACGCUGGCGGCGUGCCUAAUACAUGCAAGUCGAACGGGGAAAGUCCUUCGGGACAAGUACUAGUGGCGCACGGGUGAGUAACACGUGGAUAAUCUGCCUUCUGAUGGGGAAUAACUAGCCGAAAGGUUAGCUAAUACCGCAUAAGACCACAGUGUCUUCGGACACAGGGGUUAAAGAUUUAUCGUCAGAAGAUGAGUCCGCGUCCGAUUAGCUAGUUGGUAGGGUAACGGCCUACCAAGGCGAUGAUCGGUAGCUGGUCUGAGAGGAGGAUCAGCCACACUGGAACUGAGACACGGUCCAGACUCCUACGGGAGGCAGCAGUAGGGAAUAUUGCACAAUGGAGGAAACUCUGAUGCAGCGACGCCGCGUGAGUGAUGAAGGCCUUCGGGUUGUAAAGCUCUGUUCUACGGGAAGAAAAAAAUGACGGUACCGUAGAAGAAAGGACCGGCUAACUUCGUGCCAGCCGCCGCGGUAAAAC
rnacentral:rRNA from 1 species